AGCCUCAUUCUAGAUGAAACUGAGCACGGUUUGUGUUGUCCACAGACAGUUAAUGUGGCUAUAUUGAGAAACAGGUUAUGCUUCCAACAUUGCCGGGGUGACAAUGAGACCUGUAACAUUU
ensembl:snoRNA